UACGUGAGGGGCAAGCGUUGUCCGGAAUCAUUGGGCGUAAAGCGCGUGUAGGCGGCUGGCUAAGUCCGCUCUGAAAGCCCGGGGCUCAACCCCGGGAGGCGGGUGGAUACUGGUCAGCUCGAGUCCGGAAGAGGAGUGUGGAAUUCCUGGUGUAGCGGUGAAAUGCGCAGAUAUCAGGAGGAACACCAAUGGCGAAGGCAGCACUCUGGGACGGUACUGACGCUGAGACGCGAAAGCGUGGGGAGCAAACAGG
rnacentral:rRNA from 1 species